AGACCCGAAACCCGGUGAUCUAGCCAUGGGCAGGUUGAAGGUUGGGUAACACUAACUGGAGGACCGAACCGACUAAUGUUGAAAAAUUAGCGGAUGACCUGUGGCUGGGGGUGAAAGGCCAAUCAAACCGGGAGAUAGCUGGUUCUCCCCGAAAGCUAUUUAGGUAGCGCCUCGUGAAUUCAUCUCCGGGGGUAGAGCACUGUUUCGGCUAGGGGGCCAUCCCGGCUUACCAACCCGAUGCAAACUGCGAAUACCGGAGAAUGUUAUCACGGGAGACACACGGCGGGUGCUAACGUCCGUCGUGAAGAGGGAAACAACCCAGACCGCCAGCUAAGGUCCCAAAGUCAUGGUUAAGUGGGAAACGAUGUGGGAAGGCCCAGACAGCCAGGAUGUUGGCUUAGAAGCAGCCAUCAUUUAAAGAAAGCGUAAUAGCUCACUGGUCGAG
rnacentral:rRNA from 2 species